GAUGUUUUGGUUUCUCGUGCAUUGCACGUCACAUGUCGAUAUUAUAACUGUGUCUAACUUAAGAUUGUGUCUGUUGUAUGAGCGAGUGAAAUAGUGUAUAGAGAAGUUAUUAACACUGGCCUGAAACAGUCAGUUCUGUUGAACUAAGUUCAUCACAAUUAUGUUUACUUGAAGAAUUCCGUUGAAACAACUGCCACGCAGCUGUGUUGAGCCCCGCUACAGUCUACGAACAAAACGAAAACUGUUCGCUACAAAAUGGCGCACAGAAACAAACCGGUUUAAAUAUUUAUUUAUUUAAUAUCGACUUUAUUUAGAGAUGCCUAUGGAGAAGGAGUUUAAAGGAUGAACCCAUGAAUGCAGAAAAGUUAAAUAUAACAUACUAGCUAUUUUUACCACUGGCUUCUCUAUACAUAGCCUAUGUUAAUGUACUUAGGUAAUAGGUACGUAUUAUUAAAACAAAUAACAAGCCAUGUCAUGAUUAUUUUACUAUUUAUUUCCUUUAGUUUUUUAUUGCAUAUAUCGAUUCGAAUGGUAUAAAUAAUUCAAGUCGAAUUAAAUGAAUGCCUUCAUAUCAUUAAUUAAAGUAAUGUUUUUAAUUAUAAUUAGUCAUAAUUACCGACAGAAUACAAGGAUCAUAAAAGAGUUUCGGACGUAAUAUAAAUAAUUCAAACUUUAUGAUUUCAACACUUUAAUUGUAGUAUUUAAAUUAGUUGGGUUCCUGUUAAAUAAAUAGUUAGUUCUUAGGCGCCUCUAGUAAAUAUUUAUGAGUGGAACAGACUUAUGUGCACUGCAUGUCAAAUAGGAGUUGUAUCUAAGGAAAUUGAUUAAAAACGUGUCUAAGCAUUUUAAUAGGAGCAAAUGCCUUGGGGGACUCACUGCCAUUACUAUUCCGUACUUUGAAAAUAAAGGUCUUUACGUAUUUCAUUCUGUUUGGGGAUACCUAAACCCUUAUACAUUUACUCCAAAGUUGAAGGAGGGUGGUAAAAUGUCUGUUUAAUUUCAAUUUGCCAAGGACAUUUUAAGGUUCUCUUUUAUUACUCUGUUUUAUAUGCACCAGGUAUCUAAGUUAUUAAAAUUGUUUUAUAGGUAUCAGUUCUGCAAAGUUAAAUUAGUUAGUAGCUGGUUUGAAAUGUUUUUGUGUUAUCUCAGUUCAUAAUAAUUAAUGUAAGUAUUUUAAUGUUCUAUGUAAGUAAAGCACAGUUUUUAUACAAACUAACAAAUAAACUAAACUGUUGAAUUAAGUUUGCGUUUGCUACGCUUGGCAAGCGGUUUGUGAAAAGGAUUCUAAGCUUAAGGCCCGACUUUUAUUACACAAGAAUUUGAAAUA